rnacentral:lncRNA from 1 species
GUUAGCUGAGCUGAGAAGAAUGAUGGCUGCACUAGGAUGCAUAAAGACAGAAGAACAGGCAACAAAAUAGAUCAAGCAGAAAUCUGCAUAGGGUGCAAGGAAGAAGCAUGGAUAAAAUUGCAAAGGAAGUACAGGCUUUGGGCUGAAUUGUCACAUAGAGACAUUAUAGAAGGAAGAAAAGAAAGUCAGAACUGAGCUUUGGAAUAUCCUAACAUCUAGAGGAAAGUAGAGAAGGAAAAGUCAGCAAAGGAGCAAUCAAUAAAAGAUAGGAAAUCUAGGAAAAUGUAUUCUGAUGACCAGGAGAAGAAAUGUUAAGAAGAAACAUGAAGGAAAAACGAAGUGUCAAUGCUUCAAAGGCAGUUGAAAUGAAGAAGCACCCAAAGGCAAGCACAUUAAAUGAAGGAGGAAUCAUCAGCCUGCAUCCCUCAGUAAAGAAGACAUUAAUAUCAGGCCUCUGAAGAACCACAGUGGAAAUGUGUCAGAUGUCCUACUAAACUUUUAACUCAGCUUCUCAAAGAAAAAUCUCCAAACUGAGAAAUAUGUACAGAAUAAACAGCCUAUGUUCCUCAAAUUCUUCAUGUUAAGAAAAGAACUGUUCCAUGUCAAAGGAGAAUCAAAUGACAUGACACCUAAGUAAAAUAUGUCAUCCUGGACUGGAUUCUAUAUUAGUAGGGUGAGGAGAUGCUAUAGAAACAUAAUAGGGCCAAAUGGCAAAUUUGAAAUAUGAACUACAUGUUAGAGUAUAUGUAGUUAAUAUAUUAAGUAAUGAAUUAAAUAACUGUGUAUGUCUGAAG